rnacentral:rRNA from 1 species
GGUAUAACUGUGUGACGGCAGGCGGUGUAAGGUGAAGGGGGUGGGCGUGUCGCGGAAUCACAGGGCUGAAAGCGGACGUAGGAGGCUUUUUAAGACAGAGGGGAAAUCCUGGAGCUCAACUACAGAACUGCCUUUGAUAGUGAGGGGCGUGAGUCCUGGAGAUGUGAGUGGAACGGCGGGUGUAGAGGUGAAAUUCGUAGAUAUUCGCAAGAACAGCAGUGGCGAAGGCGGCUCACUGGCCCGGUACUGACGCUGAGGUGCGAAAGCGCGGGGAGCAAACAGGAUUAGAUACCGGUAGUC